ensembl:lncRNA
UGUUUCAAGACGCACUCGUGAUGUGGACACGCCAGAGCGUCUUUAACUUUAAUCGAAAUGCCACGAGCGUGAAAGUCAUCAGGCUGUCACGGAUCUGCGCGUGGCCAUGACCGGCAUGAUAAAGAACCGGACGGCUUUUCUGCGAGGAAAACGGCUAAUGGGCGAAAGAUGAGGAGAAAAACAAUAGCAAAGCGCAUCCUGUACAAUGGAUACGAAGAGACACCCGAAGAAACCGGCGCGAGGGCGAACCACGUCCUCAGUCAAGAGCCGGCGAAGAGGAGAAAAUGGAGAGAACUAAAUGGAGAGGACAUCUCAUCUCGUAAUGCUGACUAUAUUAAGUUCAAAACAAAGGCUUUUGAGGUUGACAAGCCCCUUGGAGAUGCAACAAGGGGUGCAGAUUUUACUAUGGAGGUGCUCGGAAGCCUCCAAUCACGUUCAAGGGCGGAGCUUAUUGCCAUGGUGUUGAGUAUGCAGAGGGAGAUGGACGGCCUUCGAGAGCAAAUCAGAAGCCUUACAGCUUGUGGGAAGUUGGCUCAGACGCUUGAAGAGCUGAUCGAGAAGAGUGAUAGAUGGCUGUGCGGCAGCCACGAAGCUGCAACUCCCAGCAUUCCAGAGGAGCGCGAGGGAAGCAGGCCACCCAGUCACAUUUCUCUUCCAAGGGUGCUUAGUGGAAGAACAGCUGAAUGUGCAAGUUCAGAGCAGCAGGGGUGUGGUCAGUAUGAGGUCACACAAACAAUGCCUCAACGGAAUGGAACGCUUCCCGAACAAAAAGUUAUCACUGCUGAUCUCCUGGAGCGCUGCAACACAGGGACCACUGCUCAGAAACUCACCAAUGACCUGCUGCGCCGCCUCUAUGACAGAGACUGUCUGGCCUCUCACUCAAUCUCAGGCAUCAUCAACAGCAAGAGAGGGAUGCCUAAGCAAGCUCUUCCAGCACAUGAGAUCCAGGCCAUUCUGAGGACAGUGCAGCGGUUCUUCCCCGGAAAGACUGAUUCGGAAAUAAAGUGCUACAUACGACAGAAGCUUCAGAAUGAGGCCAAGAGGCUUCGGAAAAGACCACACCCAGCUGAUGAUCCAGUGAUGGGCUCAUUUGAGAAGGAGAAAGCAAUGUUUGAGCAUUGAGCGUUAACUAUCAUUGGACAUCCCCAGCAUAUUUAGUUGAAGAAUUUUACUGACACAAAAUUCUGUUAUUAACCUUAAAGGGAUAGUUCCGAAAAAGUUCUGUCAUCAUUUACUUAAUUUUCAUUUAUUGUGAUUUGAAACGACACGAGAGUAAAUUAUGACAGAAUUUUCAUUUUUGAGUAAGGCUGCAUGAUUCAUCAAAAUAAAAACAAAACAGGCUUAGCGUGAUUAUCA